GGAUGCGAUCAUACCAAAGACUAAUGCACACCGGAUCCCAUCAGAACUCCGAAGUUAAGUGUGCUUGGGCGAGAGUAGUACUAGGAUGGGUGACCCCCGGGGAAGUCCUCGUGUUGCAACCC